CCUGCAAAACAAUCUCAAAAACAACCCAAUCCUCUGCUUUUCUUUAAAAACAAACAAACAAAAAACCCAAAGUAUUUCCAUCUUUCUAAAAAAGUGCUGAAGGUGGCAUCUUCCACUGUACACACAGAGACCGGGAACAGGGCCAGCAGGAAUGAUCUUGCAACUUCCCAUUUAAUGAAUUUAAUGAAUGCACACAUUGAAGGACCAGGAUGACAGUUUUUUUCUCUCUAUCCUGCAUGCAUUAUAACAUCCAACCUACAUGGACUCCAAUUUGGCGAAGGCAAAACCUCAGGAGACAUCCAUCAAUCUCAACAGUACUAUUUUAAAAGAAAGCCCUUCUGUUUCAACGCCUCCAAACAGCCUGGGCAGCCACAGCUUUUGAAUAACUACAUGCCGGAUGUUUUGACACCUACAGCACACAUGGCCACUGACUGCACCAUGAAUCGCUAGUUUGCUCUGAGUCCCAAUUCUGGGAAAAGAGCGGGAUACAAAUAACAACAACAACAACAACAACAAUGAGAAGAAGAAGAAGCCUCCAGUCAGAGAAAAAUGAAGCAGAGAAUGCUCACUUCCAUUCCAGGGGCAGACAACUUGGUGGAGGUAUUUUGGACUACAGCUCCCAUAAUCUCUGAUUAAUCAUGCAUGGUGGGGCUUAUUGGACUAAGUUGCAGAUGAUCCUGAUAUCAAUUGCAUACUUCUUACAAUUCUCAUUCUAACCCCUGUUUUGUAGACACCGACAUCACCACCAAAGGUUCAAGUACAGGGAGAGUUAGGAGCUUCAGACACAAGAUCAAAAGGAUGUGAUUUCAGCAUGUUUUCAGUCUUUUGUUCUUAUGCUAUGUUUUUGUUUUGUUUUCUUGGUUUCCUAGUUUCUUUUCUUUUUUCCUUUUUGGAAAUACUGACAAUUAAUUCUAUUUCUAAUGGUAACAUAUAUUUCAAAACAUGUUUUUGAUGGAAAUUCAUAAAAAAAAACAAAUUGAUUUUUAUCAGUCUUCAGGCACUGCAUGAAUGGAAAGAUGCGGUAAAACAGAUGGGAACAAAUGCGUGCAUUUGUGUGGACUGUAACUGGAGGUUAUACUGAUGUUUCCCUUAACCUCCUCUCUGGACUGCCUUGCAUUAAUUAUGGCAAGCCUCAAAAACCAACUGAAAUUAUCUUGAAUUCCAAAAGAAGUUUGCUGGAUAUCAGUGGAGAGAUGCUGCAUGAGAAACACAAGUGCACAUUCACAGAUUGCUGGUGCUUUACAUCCUGGCCUUUGUUUGAAAGCCAUAGGAACGAAUGGACAUUAAAAAAAGUAAAUAAAGAAUGAAUCCUAAAGACGCAUUUCAGGAAUACUCAUUUCAAAGAGAAUAUAGGCAGAGUGCCACCUUCUGGUUUUCCUCAGAAAAAGGAAAAGAAAUUCAGGAAUUAUAAUUCCACACAUCACUGUGCUAAAUAUGUGAUCUUCAAUGUGCUUGGGAUGAACCCUGCAGGUUAAGUGCCUCUCUGUUGCCUAUAGGUUUUAAGAGUACAGCCCGUGUGCUUAUAUUGUCUCCUUCUUCAAAUGUUCCACAAGCCAUUUCUCAGCUAAAAGAAAAGUAGGUGGUUGUUUUGCCCAUCAUUGUCCCUAGGCAAUUUAUACCUCUUGAGCAAGCUGAAAAGGUAGUUAGUGUGUAUACUGCUAUUUGUUCAGCAACACCAAACUAUAGAGGAUUAUUCUUUUGCUCUUUGAAGUAUACUGUUGGUUUUUGAAGACUAGAGUUAUCUGGGGGGAAAAUGGGAAUGUUUUCAAUAGCAGUUUCUAAGCCUAUUAAUCCCUCCCAAUUCCCCUGUUAUUUUCAUCUCAAAUGUGGUAUGUGCCCUGAGUUUCAUUGUGGUGUGCACCCUGUUUCAAAAUAAGAAAACAACUUAUGCAGGUGCUUUCAUGAAGUCAUGGAAGGCACAUUCUAACAAUUAUUAUUCAAGGUCUUAUACAAUGGUUUAAAGUUCAGUUUGUCAUUCUAAUUAUUAUUAUUAUUAUUAUUCUGUAUUUAUAUAGCGCUGUAGAUAAUGCAUAUCAUACUGUAAAGAGGGAGGCAGAAUAGAAAUAUGGGACUGUAUUCUUCUACAGUGGGACUAUGAGAACUUCAGGAGGCGCCUUUCUCUUAGCCCUGAGAAGUACAUCUACUGGAGACACAACAGACAGAGGGUGUUUUGGGUGGCUGCACCCAGGUUCUGGAGUUCCUCAUCAAGAGAAGCCUCUGUUGCCCUUCUGUUGGCAGACAAAUAUUGUUUUAUUAGACAAGCAUUUCAAAACUGACCAGCACAUUGUUGUCAGAUGGUUGCUAUGUUUGUUUUAUAGUGAUAUAGUUUUAAAUUGUAUUUUUAAUUACUUUAAACCUUUUAAAACCAUGUAUUUAAUGCAAUUCUCUUUUAAUAUUUGAUCUUGUUUUAUGUUUUAAUAGUAUUAAUGUGAGCCUCCUUAAUUCUAUUUAUUAAAUCCCCUCCUUCUAUCCCACUUUAUGAAUGCAGGUCUAUGAUGGGGUAGCUGUGUUUCUCUGUUGCAAGAAAAACAACAGAGGGUCAGGCCCAUAGCUAGGCUGGGGCAACCAGGGCCCCAAACGGCAGUUCGCCAAGAUGGCACCCACGGCACGUGGUAGGACUCAGGAGUGUGCAAACGCUCCACCCUACCAAACUCUACUUUCUGCUCCAGGGCCCUAAAGGCCUAGCUACAGGCCUGCAGAAGGUCCUGAGGCAUCUUAAAGAUGAGUUGAUCAUAGGUGGCAUAAGUUUACCUGGGUAAGAGCCCAGUUUGCUUGAAGCAUCUAUGUAGGCUCCAGUCCAGAAAAUGUACGCUAUUACAAAUAUUUCAGUUUCCAUGGUGGUGCAUAAUAUUUGCAGCAAAACUGAAUCCCAAGGCACUUUGAAAACUAACAAGAAUAAUACAUAAAAAAUAAAAUUGCUAAAAUCUUAAAGUGCCACAAGAGUCUUUGUAGCCUUUUCUUUGUUUUUCAUGUUGUUCUUCAGCUAGAUCUUCAAGAAGGAAAAGAAUUGACAGUAGGAAAAACAGACAGCGAUAAGGAAUGCAGUGUGAUCAUGAACAGCCACUGGCAUCACUAGG